rnacentral:rRNA from 1 species
UACAGGGGGGGCAAGCGUUGUUCGGAAUUACUGGGCGUAAAGCGUGUGUAGACGGUUAUUUAAGUCGGGUGUGAAAGCCCCGGGCUCAACCUGGGAAUUGCAUUCGAGACUGAAUAGCUAGGGUGCGGAAGAGGGAAGCGGAAUUUCCGGUGUAGCGGUGAAAUGCGUAGAUAUCGGAAGGAACACCAGUGGCGAAAAGCGGCUUCCUGGACAAUUGCUGACGCUCAGGC